UUGAUCACUUCCUGCAGAAUAUCCUUACUUUCACUAGGAGGAAGAUUGCUAAAAUAAUACUGAGGUGCCAGCUCCACGAAUCUGUUUUGUCAGAAGUCAAGUCAUGGUGAAUGCUGAAUAGUAUAUUACACAGUGCCUAUGUCCAGAACUCCUUCUGUCAUCUUCUCCUCUAAAAGAAUAGAGCACUACUGGCAGCCUUCAAGCACCAAUAUUUCGUCUGGGUUCACGUGCUUUCAUUUUAAUGAGAAGUUAACACAAGCAUUUACACAAGUUCCAGCUCCCUUAUGAUUUUGUGUGUCCUACAAUUGCAGGGCUGCUUGCCAACGCCAACUACUGCUCCCAUCAAGGCAAACUGCAAAGCUUUGUGACUCAACUGCUGCUUUCACAGAAGCAAAGUUAGAAAGAAGUUCUCAAGAUAUGUUCCAUGCUUUCAACAAGAAAUCUUGCCAAUACUUCCCUGGAAGUUUGAAAGAUUUUAACAUUACAAGAGAGGAUAGGAUUCACCUCCGUUUCACAUCAUGUGCAACUGCAGGAAGGUGGGCUACAGGAGGAGUGUUACACAGUUCUCCGUGAAAGAGAAAGGACACGCAAAAUGAAGAGCUGUUGAACUGGAUUUUCAGAAGUGACUGGAAGCGAACUCAGGCUCAAGUCAUUGCUGUGCUGUACCACUAGGCUUUCUAUAUGGUGAUGGACAAAAUAUUCAGAGAAGACAGAGAAGAGGGAAAAAGGAAAAAAGAAGAAGAAUAAGAAGCUGAAGCCUAAAUCUGUAGUUAAAAUCCUGAAAUUGUGCCUAUUUUGUCUUACUGUAACUAAACUGCAUGUGUUGCUCGUUGUUAUGGCAUCAGAAAUUGUGCCUUCAUGCCUUGAACUAAGCAGUGCCUAGGGCAUACCUAAGUCUGUUACAGAUCAGAAAGUAGCUUUUCCAAGACCGUGCCUAACAUACUCCCAACAUCAAAUUCCCAUAAAAAUGUUAUUUCAGACAUUAUAAUUUUUAAAAUACAUUUGGAGGAGGAGAGAUCUUAACUCUAUCCCUUGCAGGCAAGUGGAAGUAGAAUAUUUGUACUCUUUCCUCUCUGCCUGAGGGAGUCACUCCUCUCUCAGAGAGGAAUACCGUAAUCCCAAGAUUAAAUGCAGGACACCUUCCUGCUCAAGUUAAGUGGCUAUGCAGGAAAAGAUUGAAGAUUAAUUAAGCCAAAUAGUAAGAAAACAAGUGGCAGCAUUAGUUGGUGAAGAAAGAACACAUGGGAAGUAGUAGUUCUGGCUUCUGCUUUCUGCACCAAAAAUGUUACGUUCUAUGAAACUGUGAUAGUUGAGAGCUGUGAUUGGCAGAGCAAAAUUUGAGACUAGAAGGCUAGAGGCCAGGGAAUCAAAUACUGGGAAAAAGAACUGAGAGAAAGAGGAAAUUAAGAAAGACUGGCUAAGUAAACUGUGGGAGGGAGUGGACUGAGAUGACAGCAGAAAAGGAGACAGCUGUUAUCAACAGCUGUCGAUUACAAAGAAUGCUGAGAAGGACUUGGGAUUCAGAGAUCGUAGAUGGAGGAGAGACUAAGACCACAACAAAAAGCUAAAUUUGAGAGCUGGCUUUGGACGAAAACAAGCUGAAGGAACUGGUAGAAAGGAACAAGCCUGAUUAAAACAAGGAGCGAAGUCUGUGUCCACCAAAGCAUACUCCCUUCAGUGCCAUCGUUCCUCUGUUAGCACGUGCGUUAAUCACCUUGGGAAACCGUGUGCAUCUCCCCACUCUAGUGCAGAUCCACACAGGAGGUAGCUACGCAUUAUCACUUCCAGUUACUCAGCUGAAAGUGCACGAGGCCAGAUGUCGAGUCUCCGUGUAACCAUAUGCCUUGCAGGCCACACUGCAAGGCUUUAUCCAUGGGGUGAGAGUGCAGAGCCUGGCAGAGAGUGACAUCCACUAACUUCAGUACACCUUCUCCUGUGGCAUCUGGUACGUAUAUGUCGUGAAAAUGGAAAGGGCUGCAAUGUGCCACUGAAAACUAGGAGACUUAGAACUGAUCAAAGGGGAUCCAGAGACAGUAGCCAAUUUAAUAUAUGUCAUUUUCAGUAUAUAACAUUUGACACGUAUUUUAGCUGAGCACUCAAAAGAUAGGGGAUGCAAGAAGCAAGGUUUCUUGUGCAUCUUUAUUUUGUUUCCUUACUUCCUUUUUUAAAACGUUGCAAGAAUUAGUGAAGCUAAAACACAAAAUAAAAUAUAAAACAGAGCACAAAUAAGUAUGUAGGCCACAAUAUGGACAGACGUUGUUUGGUGUAUUAAAGAAAUAAUAAAAAAACAGUGUUUUAAGUUUAGAAUACGGAUAAAUUGAGUGAGAACAAUGGGUAUGACAAAAGGAUAUAAUGACAAGGUUAGCCGUGACUGUAGAAGAGCCAAGAAAAUUCUGCAACUGAACAAAACAGUUGCCAGCACAAUGUAGAAGGAAUGAUUUAUUGAUAAAAUACUAAGGCAACUUGAAAUAAUUUAUAAAGUAUUUAGAUUAAGCCCUGGUCUCUCUAAAGUCAGAGAAAAUACACCCAUAACUAACUUCAGUAGGCAAGGGUUUUAGCUGAUAUGUUCUGUAAUACAUUUGAAAAAUAUCUAGUUGACAGACAGGUUUUCAGGUUGAGAUAUGAUGUUGUGAUACACAAACAAAACAAAAAUUUACAGUGCACAUGCUGGUAGAUACAAGAAUAUUUUAUACAGAGUUUUCUAAGGUUAUGUGUGUAUUUGGUUCUGAGUUUUAAAAUACAGUAGUUACUCAUGAAUGUAUUCUUAGUUCAGUGCUCAGGAGCUUGACCUUUUUAAAGAUAGUACAUAAACAGAUGUGGUUUUGAGAUUUUUGUUACUUGUUUAUGACACUGUAUCAGACAAUUGCAGGUUGAAGUGUGUAAUUCUUCAGUGCUGAACUUGUCCCAAAGCCUAAAGGAAAUCACCUAAGUAGUAACAGCUUGUAAUAGACACAGGUGAAAUGUGUCAACUAUUUAUAAGUAUUUGAAGAAAAUAAUUUAAAUGUAUAAGCGUAUAUAUAUUUUUUAAGCCUAUAGUUGACCGAAUUAAUCUUCUGCCACUUUUUAUGUUUUACUCUCUCUCUCUCUGGCCUUAGUACUUCAAGUUGCAAUACAUGGCUGUACAUCUGUGUCUGCUGAGAGAACUGCUAAACAUCAGUGGUGCGGUGUGUGCAUACACUGUAGCUCAGUUCUUGAGAACUGGAAAUUAUUAUAGUGCAAUGCAGUACAGCACUCGGCAUAAAACCAGCCCACUGCUUAUUGAAACCUGACACUAGUAAUGCAUGAAUCUGGAUAUUAAUGUGCCUCAUGUAA